AUUCGAUGCAACGCGAAGAACCUUACCUGGUCUUGACAUCCACAGAACUUUCCAGAGAUGGAUUUGUGCCUUCGGGAACUGGGAGAGAGGUGCUGCAUGGCUGUCGUCGGCUCGUGUUGUGAAAUGUUGGGUUAAGUCCCGCAACGAGCGCAACCCUUAUUCUUUGUUGACAGCGGUUAGGGAGGGAACUCAAAUCAGACUGCCAGUGAUAAACUGGAGGACGGUGGGUUUGACGUCAAGUCAUCCUGGCCCUUACGACAAGGGCUACACACGUGCUACAAUGGCGCAGGCAAAGAGAAGCGAACUCGAGAGAGCAAGGGUACGUCAUAAAGUGCGAUGUAGUCCGGAUGGGAGUCUAGAACUCUACACCAUGACGGCGGCAUAGCUCUUAAUCG
rnacentral:rRNA from 1 species